rnacentral:lncRNA from 1 species
GGGAAAUUAGUGAGGCACACCGGGGCUUCAUGAGCACGAGACCCCGCAGGCCGCAUCUGUGAACACGCGCUGCUGCUGCUGCGUUAUUGGCCGUCACUCGACGGCGGUUAGCCACAUUAGCCGUUGACCUCAAACUGCACCUGAAAGUGGAGUGUUCCUGUCCCACUGAGGGAGCUUCAGGGACCGCUCCGACUCACCUGUCCAGCAAGAUGCUCCUGAGAGGCUGCCAAGGCUUCACUUCAUACAGAACGCUGUUAAGAGUUGCUCGGGCAUCGCCGAACUCUAUUCCCCUCCUGCUAAGGCAGCUGUUUAGAGGCCCUCAUCAAUAA